rnacentral:rRNA from 1 species
UACAGAGGGUGCUAGCGUUGUUCGGAAUUAUUGGGCGUAAAGGGCGCGUAGGCGGAUCUUUAAGUCGGGGGUGAAAGCCUGAGGCUCAACCUCAGAAUUGCCUUCGAUACUGGAGAUCUUGAGACCGGAAGAGGUAAGUGGAACUGCGAGUGUAGAGGUGAAAUUCGUAGAUAUUCGCAAGAACACCAGUGGCGAAGGCGGCUUACUGGUCCGGUUCUGACGCUGAGGCGCAAAAGCGUGGGGAGCAAACAGG